GGGUGCGUAGCUCAGUGGGAGAGCGCUUCCUUGACGCGGAAGAGGCCGUAGGUUCAAUCCCUACCGCACCCACCA
rnacentral:tRNA from 15 species